ACUAUGGAGAGUUUGAUCCUGGCUCAGGAUGAACGCUAGCGGCAGGCCUAAUACAUGCAAGUCGAACGGGCUUCGAGCGAUCGAAGUUAGUGGCGCAC
rnacentral:rRNA from 1 species